rnacentral:rRNA from 1 species
UACGUAGGGUGCAAGCGUUGUCCGGAAUUAUUGGGCGUAAAGAGCUCGUAGGCGGUCUGUCGCGUCUGCUGUGAAAACUCAGGGCUUAACCCUGAGCUUGCAGUGGGUACGGGCAGACUAGAGUGCGGUAGGGGAGACUGGAAUUCCGUGGUGUAGCGGUGAAAUGCGCAGAUAGUCAGGAGGAACACCGGUGGCGAAGGCG